rnacentral:rRNA from 1 species
UACGUAGGGGGCAAGCGUUGUCCGGAUUUAUUGGGCGUAAAGAGCGUGUAGGCGGCCAAGCAGGUCCGCUGUGAAAACUCGAGGCUCAACCUCGAGAGGUCGGUGGAAACCGUUUGGCUAGAGUCCGGAAGAGGAGAGUGGAAUUCCCGGUGUAGCGGUGAAAUGCGCAGAUAUCGGGAAGAACACCCGUGGCGAAGGCGGCUCUCUGGGACGGUACUGACGCUGAGACGCGAAAGCCAGGGGAGCGAACGGG